rnacentral:rRNA from 1 species
UACGUAGGGUGCGAGCGUUGCCCGGAUUUAUUGGGCGUAAAGGGCGCGUAGGCGGCCACGCACGUCCGUUGUGAAAUCGCCCGGCUCAACUGGGCGGGGGCAGCGGAUACGGUGUGGCUCGAGCAAGCUAGGGGGCAAUGGAAUUCCCGGUGUAGUGGUGGAAUGCGUAGAUAUCGGGAGGAACACCAGUGGCGAAGGCGGUUGCCUGGAGCUUUGCUGACGCUGAGGCGCGAAAGCGUGGGGAGCGAUCAGG